UGAAUACGAGACGCUAAGGCGUCGAAGUAGUGUAUGUCAUACUUCCAAGAAAAGCUUGCACUGUCAUAGAUAAAAAACGCCUGUACCAUAACCGACACAGGGGUAGGUAGAGUAUACUAAGGGGCGCGAGAUAACUCUCUCUAAGGAACUCGGCAAAAUAACUCCGUAACUUCGGGAGGAGGAGUGCCUUAUUCGUAAGGUUGCAAUAACAAGAUCCAAGCAACUGUUUAUCAAAAACACAGGUCUCCGCUAAGUCGUAAGACGAUGUAUGGGGGCUGACGCCUGCCCAGUGCCAGAAGGUUAAAGAAGUUGGUUAGCAAUUGCGAAGCUGAUAACUGAAGCCCUGGUGAACGGCGGCCGUAACGAUAACGGUCCUAAGGUAGCGAAAUUCCUUGUCGGGUAAGUUCCGACCCGCACGAAAGGCGUAAUGAUUUGGAUACUGUCUCGGAGAGGGGCUCGGUGAAAUAGACUUGUCUGUGAAGAUGCGGACUACCUGCACCAGGACAGAAAGACCCUAUGAAGCUUUACUGUAACUUGAAAUUGAAAUUGGACUUUAUUCGCGCAGUAUAGGUGGGAGGCGUUGAUUAUAAUCUUGUGGGAUUAUUGGAGCCAUCAGUGAGAUACCACUCUUGUAAUGUUAGAUUUCUAACUUUGAAUCAUUAUCUGGUCAAAGAACAGUUUCAGGCGGGCAGUUUGACUGGGGCGGUCGCCUCCUAAACGGUAACGGAGGCGUACAAAGGUUUCCUCUGAACGGUUAGAAAUCGUAUCUAGAGUGUAAAGGCAUAAGGAAGCUUGACUGUGAGACCUACAAGUCGAGCAGGGACGAAAGUCGGUCUUAGUGAUCUGACGGUACUGAGUGGAAAGGCCGUCACUCAACGGAUAAAAGUUACUCUAGGAUAACAGGCUGAUCUCCCCCAAGAGUUCACAUCGACGGGGAGGUUUGGCACCUCGAUGUCGGCUCAUCGCAUCCUGGGGCGGUAGUACGUCCCAAGGGUUGGGCUGUUCGCCCAUGAAAGCGGUACGCGAGCUGGGUUCAGAACGUCGUGAGACAGUUCGGUCCAUAUCCGGUGUAGGCGUUAGAAUAUUGAGAGGAGCCUUCUUUAGUACGAGAGGACCGAGAAGGACAUACCUCUGGUGUACCAGUUAUCCUGCCAACGGUAAACGCUGGGUAGCUAUGUAUGGAGUGGAUAACCGCUGAAAGCAUCUAAGUGGGAAGCCCACCUCAAGAUAAGUAUUCUCA
rnacentral:rRNA from 1 species